AUUUAGCCCCGAUCGAAACGAUAUCCUUUUGUGGCGGUGUUCGCCAUAAAAGAUAUAGUGUAGAGCGGGACGAGUG
rnacentral:sRNA from 1 species